CCAAUAGCGUAUAUUAAAGUUGUUGCAGUUAAAAAGCUCGUAGUUGAAUUUUGGGUCUGGCCGGGCGGUCCGCCCUCUGGGUGAGCACUGUUCCGACGCCGGGCCUAUCCUUCUGGUGAGUCGGCAUGUCCUUUGUUGGGUGUGUCGGGGAACCAGGACCAUUACCUUGAAAAAAUUAGAGUGUUCAAAGCAGGCGUAUGCUCGGAUACAUUAGCAUGGAAUAAUGAAAUAGGACGCGUGGUGCUAUUUUGUUGGUUUCUAGAACCGCCGUAAUGAUUAAUAGGGAUAGUUGGGGGCAUUAGUAUUAAAUUGUCAGAGGUGAAAUUCUUGGAUUUAUUGAAGACUAACUUCUGCGAAAGCAUUUGCCAAGGAUGUUUUCAUUAAUCAAGAACGAAAGUUAGGGGAUCGAAGACGAUCAGAUACCGUCGUAGUCUUAACCAUAAACUAUGCCGACUAGGAAUCGGGCGAUGUUAUUCUCAUGACUCGCCCGGCGCCUUAUG
rnacentral:rRNA from 1 species